CCGAUACAGGAGCAUUUAAGUAUUUAUGUCUAUCUAUUGUGAUCUGAAGUACUACGGUGGGAUUUUGCGGACCUACACGUACACUAGAAUAUGGUGACUACGCCGGCUGUGAACUAACAAUGCAUAUCAACUGCUGACUAUUCUCUCCUUCAAUUCUCCAUCGAUAUCAAAACUAUUCUUCACCUCUGUAUUUUCUCCGUUAACUCUCGAUUUCUCUCCUUGAAUUCAUCUUCUGUCAAUAUCAAUACUUCCGGUAAGGCUUUCUCUGUUAUUGUAUUCCCCUUUUUUUAUUGGCUUUGCUUCCUGCUUUCGUAGUGUUUAUUGAGAAUAUCUGAACAAAAAAAAGGUUAUAAAAACUAUAAUAAAAAAAGGAAAUUUUGAUUUUAUUUUUUUAACUUUGAGUAUCGCAAGCACCACAUAACUAUAAGUUUUUUGUUUGUGCCUGAGUAGUUUGUAUCUACCUAUUCUUUUAAUAUUUUUUUCUACAGCAGUAAAGUUUACCUUUUCUUUAAUUAUAAAAUUUGUUUGUUCUGCAAAGUCAUAGCAUAUAUAUGAGCUUUGGUGGGGUAUUAUGCAUUUAAUUGGUAUUUUUAUAAGCAAAAAAGAGGCUUUUAUCAAUUCCUUGUUUCUAACUGUUAAGUUCGUAUCCUCCUGCUACUUUCAAAAGGUCAAAAUUGGUGAAUCUACAGAGUCAGAGCAUAGAUAUGACCUUUUGUGACUUAUUAUGCAUUUAAUUGGCAUUUUUAUAAGCAAAAAAGAAAAAGGCUUUUAUCAAUUCGUUAUUUCUAACUGAAGUUCGUAUCAUCCUACUGCUUUCUAAAGAUCAAAACUGGUGAGAAAAUAUUCUUAAGGUCUAUCGUCAUAGCAUAAUCAUAAUAUAGAGAUUUUACAUGGUUCUGUUUUUGUGCCACAACAAGUCAGUACCAAAAAGAAAUUGGACCUAAAAAUAGUAACUUCUAAAGGCUGCUUUUAUUAGCAAAUCAGGCGGAGGAAUUUGACUAAGCCUAUGUUUGUUGCUGAAGUUGUUUUACACUCUCCAUUGUGAUCUCCUGUGCCAUUUCUUUAUGAAAUCAUAUGGAAAAGUAGGAUUUCGAUACUUGCACUAAAUACUUCACGUUCAGAUUACAGCCAUAUUAAGCUCUCUUUGUUGUGAUAUGCGCACUCAGGCGUGAGAUGCUUCUACACACUCUAAGCAGUAUACUUUUAAGGGCCAUGAGGCAACUACCAAAUUCAUAGUUCAUUUUCUUUCCCUUCAUUUUGGCAUCUAAAAUAACCAUUGUUUGAUUUAGUGAACAUCAUAAGAUAUUGUUCAUUUAUGUUCAAAUUGUGCAAACGAUAUACUGCAAUCAGAGAUAACCAAUUUUUUAGUUAGCUAUAUCAUCCAUUAACUUCAGACCUAAGUGUUUUUGUUUAUCAAUAUCACUAAUAAGCUCUGAUUUCACAGGUUGAAAUGAAGUUAGUUAACCUGGGGCACACUCAAAGAUGGGUCUUGCAAAGUAUUUUCGAAUUUUUUUAUUUUUCCUCUUUUGAUAACACUGUGGAGUCUCAUAAUCAAGCUGUGGAUGAAAAAUGACCAGCCCACAAUAAAAAUUCAGUACAAAUGUAUGGAAUUUGUCUAUUCUAAUACUGAAAUAAC
rnacentral:lncRNA from 1 species